CUAAUUCCUUGUCUCUCCUUCUAGCUCCUUCAAAUUCUCCAAAACGCACUGUAACUGAUAUCACUCGUAGAUCAAAGAGAAGAAAGAGCACUGGAUGCAGCACUUGAUGCCAUUCUGCAGCGUGUGAUAGACAUCAAGAGUUCCCUGCAGGAACUGAUGCUCAAGAUUGAGAGGGAAGGAGAGCAGGCUGACUGGCCUUCCUAUCUGGAUGCCUUCUCUGUUAUCUCUGCUCAG